rnacentral:lncRNA from 12 species
GCAGCAGCCGUGAAGCAGCAGGUACAGAGAGCAGCGCCGAGUGAGUGUCCUGCAGGAGCUCCAGGUGUGGAGCUGCCCUUUCUUGAGCUACUUCACGGGAGAGCCGAGUGAGUGUCCCGCAGGAGCUCCAGGUGUGGAGCUGCCCUUUCUUGAGCUACUUCACGGGAGAGGUGUGUAAAUAGCAUAAAUAUCAGCGCGGUAAAGAACUGUACUUGCAAUAACAUAUGUACACAGGGAAUCUACAGCCUUAGGCAGCAUCUGAGCAGUGAUUUUAGGGAUCAUCUUCGCGUCUCUGGUGCCGCGCUGAGAAACUAACAGGUGCAGAGCUCUGGGCGCGGAGCUGAUUUUGGCCUCCCUACUGCGGCCGCUUUGCCCGUGGGUGUUAGCCUCACUCCUCUGCCGGCAGCCUCGCCAAGCCGUCCCGGAGAGAGCUAAAUCCUCUUGUUUCAGGAGCUGCAACUCCUAGCCGUGCACUUAGGCUCCAAGCGGCCGGGGCAGAGGGAGGAAAGCCCGGCCACGCAGGGCUCCAGGGCCGGCGGCGCUCUCCCGGCCGGGAGAUCCCCCACCCCCUUCCCCAGCAGCGCAGCGCCCGAGCGGGGCGGGCGGGCUGCCGCGGGGAGAUGGCGCCAGGUAGCAGCUCCGAGCGGGCGGCCGCUGUCGCCGCCUCAGGGUGAGGGGCGGCGAGGCCAGGCCGGGCCCGGCUGGGCUGCCCCGCACCCCCGCCCCAGCCGGGAGCAGCGCCACGCGCCUCUUCCACAACUCCUCCUCCUCAGCCUUAUCGAGCGCCGGAGGCUGCUCGCGGCGCGGGGAGCGCAGGGGAUACAAACAAGUGUGUGCGGCGCUGGGGGAGGGGGAUCCCUGCUCCCGCUCCGGGAAAACGAGCCUCAAGAAACAGCUUCAAGGUCUCACACCUUCAAAAAUAAGUCUUUUAAGAAAUCCAGCGUCUGUGGAAUUUGCAAACAAGUAAUUGAUAGCCAAGGAAUUUCCUGCAGAGACAGAAUAAGGCAGUGCCUGUGGAGGAUCUGUGAGGGGCAUAUGAGUGACGUGUACCCAGUGGAUGACACAUGGCUCUGGAAUUCAAAUCAGGAAGUGUGUGACCCUUGCUCCCUGAGGCAUGAAGGAUUUAUCUAUGUUAAUUUGCAAAAAAAAAUAAAUCACAAAAGUAGCUGUCUAUUUACUUU